rnacentral:lncRNA from 1 species
GUCGCUUCUGCUGACGGAAGCCGCCGGGAAAAACCGACUUUCAUUAAGCACUGCCUGCUGGCGGCCCUCUGCCCCCCCGACACCCACCGAUCUUCCCUGACUCAGCGAACGGUUCAGCUGCGUAUAACUCCUUCAAAAGCAUUCUUCCCGUUAGGCAUUGAAUUUGCGAUAUAGAUUCAAGGAAGCCCGACUCCCGCCCGUCGCUCAUGAUACGCAUGUGUGGCCAUUGCGGGGGGUCAACACUCCAACACUGUGAACGUGAACCAUUAGUGACUUGGGCCACAUCGUGUCGGCGUCGUUUUCAAACUUUUUGUUUGCGCAGGGAAAACACUUUGCUCCGUGAUAUUUCCUUGUUGUCUCCAAGUUUGGAGGGGCGGGACGGGGGGUCCAUUGUCCCUCGACACACUCUUCACGACCCAGCCACCACUUCGUCGUAGGUUUUCUAGUCCCAUUUUUGUGCUCUUCAUCUCGACACAAAGAUGCAGCCUACAUGCACGCCGAUCAUGUCCCGAACGGAGCCGGGCGGGCGCAAGGCCACUGCGUCUCAGCAACGCUCGCAGCGCUCAAUUCGACCGCCGUUUCCCGCUCCCUUACACUCGACUCGUCUGCUUCUCCGGCGUGGCUCUAGCCGACUCGCCGCAGCUGUCUUCUUGGCGGCUCUUGCAUGUUUAUUUUUCCUCGACUUUAACCUUCGGGUGCCCACAGCCGUGGCAGCCGGCUCUGUCUUUCCGGAAGCAGAACCUCAUGAUAAUACAGAAGCGGUGUUUGCACUGGAUGACGACGCAAGGAGGGGGAGCGCCGACGAUCUAUCAGGACAAGAAUCGAGUGCGAGCACUUCUCAAGCCACCUCCCGACGGAGUACAGAUCCGACCUCCACGAAGCGCGUUUCAGCUGUCCAGCGUCGCGUAGGCGCUCGUCGAAUUUCAGUUCUUGGCACAGUUUUAGGUGGUGUACUUGCUGUCCUCUACUUCGCCAAGUUUUUCAAGCGGGGCAAAACAAGGAGUGAAGCUCCACAACCGGAAUCAGCCCGCUAGUACGCCGACAGCUGCUACCCUCGAUGGGAGAGUCGUGCUGCUGCUGUGUUGGGGGUCCGCGAAUUGACUCCCUCGUCGAGAAGUCCCGUCCUUGUGCUAGAAGCUGUCAAGAGAGGGUUUGCAGGUGAAGGAUACUUAGGAAUCUUGUGACUUGUGGCAAACGAUGGGAUGCCGCUUCGACAUCGGAGCACGCGAAUGAGACGGUGAUGCGAGCAACUCAUGAGACUGAUGAUCCUAGCUAGAUAUGCCACAAGCUAUUGCCGGGGAGCUCACUGCUUUGACAUCUGAAAGCGUUCCAUCAGGCAGGACUCUGAUGAGUGUGUCAGGGGGCUGAGAAGCGUAUGCAGCAACCCGAGCGAAUCUGUAACCGAACGGAGUUUUGUUUGAGUGUACAGCUGGCCCAUGGCCGGUAAAGGACAUGCAUCGCGAAGGCCAUAGCAACUUUCUCGAAACGAGCGUCAGGGAAGAUGACUACAGCCACAGCUGUUACUGUCUGCGAGCAGGGGGUAGACGCCUCCUGUUUGGCUGGCUCCUCCACUUCUGUUGCUGACCGAACAGACGGAAUUUUCAAUGGGACCAUUCGGACGAUACGAUGAGCCGAAGAUUCGUGGGUCUAUUCUGGGCAAACAACUAAGUGGCCUUGGCGACUGUCUCUGCAUUGAGUCGCCGAUCUUGAUUGCAAACGAAGAUGCUGUCAAGUUUUCCGGCGGUCUUUUCUGGUGACAGCCGGCUUCAGCCAUCUGGAAGAAGAGGCCCGUAUCCGGUCCUCGCAGUUCUUCCACACGGUCGGGCGACAACCAGGGCCUACGCGACGAAGUUGAAUUUUUUCAUGCAUUAUUUUCCAGGCCGUUCGCAGCAACUAGCGCUCGAAUGGCUGUGGCCUUGUAUGCAACAACUCGUUAGGUUGAGCGUUGGUUGGUAGUAGCCCUUCUCACUGAUCGAGAGAUACUGGCUUGUCUCAUUAUCCGCUGGAGAGCUGCACACCGUGUGCCCAUCCUCCCCACAGACUCUAACGAGUGGAAGUGACUCCCGGCUGCAUUGCCACUCGGAAACGCUUGACUCCCCAUUGCCGGAGGUGAAGAUAGAUAUGUCGUCGUUGCGGGCGAAAGGGGGAGCUAGCAUUUUUUUUGUAGCUUACUUUUCGUAGUGUACGGUACGUCCCCCCGGUUUUUGUCUCCAUCGUUUGCUUGAAGAGUCUCGGCCGCUGUCCUCUGUUGUGUGUCCCAUCAGGCAAUCAUAGAAAAGACAGCACAGUUGCUCGAAGAGCCUCGUCAGGAAAAGUCUGUAGGUUGGUGGUACUGCUGAGCGGAGUGUCUCACCUCAAGACAUCUCAGGAGUGGGAGUUGUUUGCGUCUUCUUGCGUGGAACGACAAAAGAGAACGGCCAGCGACAAUGAGGUUCGGUGCAGAGUUGUUGUACAACAGUGCCACACAAGUUCGAAAGAAACUCCCGUGGUUGAAAGGAUCCUCGGGACCACAGCAAAUGCCACCAGAGGCUGUGGCUCAGGCAAAUAUAGUCCCCAGUGCCUUGGCUAAGGGAUUCUGGAAAUCAAACCUGCCACAAAGGGGAAUCGUUUCGCAUACCAAAUGCUGCAUGCACGUCUCUGAUGGUGCUCGCUCGUGCAAACAGGAAGACGUCAUUCCUAGGAAGGGUCAGGGUUUUCCCAUGAACGUGUAGACCAUUCGUUCUGCCCCGGAAUGACUUGUGAAGGACUACGAUCUUUGGCGAUGCUGUUGAGACUAACUAAUGAAGUAGUCCGCUUCUCCUGUAACUCGAUGGAAUUGCUAAGCAAACGCAACACGACACGAUCAACCCAAUCCGGGGUUGAUUUCCACUAAUUUUUGUUCAAACGUAUCGACGACCAAACUGCUGCACGGCAAACAGUUGCCGGGACUGGUCUGCGGGCGUUCAUGUUCAUUCGAUUAAUCAGCUUGCCCAAAAAGGUGCACAUGCGCAAAACGCAGCAUGUUUCCUGCCGCCCUUCUCGUACCCGUCUACACCGUGUAGCUGAAUAAGUUUCAAUAAGCUGCAAUGUUGUUGCGCUGAAAGCACGCCGUAAACCGUGGCCAUGUGAAUGUUCGCGUGCCCUCCGUGUUCGAAGCCUGAGUUGUGGACAAGCGGAAGCUCUUGCGCACUCCCACAAUUUUGUCAGCGUUUCAUGCCAUGAGAUGCACUCCUCGUUUUCUUUAGAUGUGGAACAAGAAAGUACGUAUUGAGGUGGCUUCCCCCUCAUGAGCGUGGCCAUCCCUUGCGCAAUGGACCUUCUCUUGUUCUAUUAUCUUUUGUCGCCGUCUGCCAAUAACCGCACCAAAUGCACGUAGCCUCAGCCAUUACCGCCUGCCGAGGUGCUGUUGAGCGCCGAUGCUGGUUGCUAAACAGAGUGACAUUCACGGCUACGAGAAAGCCUGGACCUCAGGCUUUCCGUUUCACAACGUACUUGGUCUUGGAAUUGUCACGGGGCUUGCGCUCCAACACAGCUCGCGUGUGGUGUGCUGUUGUGCGAUUUGUAGGUGGCUGCCGGUCUAGCAACGGCUGCCGCUGCUGUAACGCUCGUGAGUUUGCGUGCUUCAUCGGAGAGCCUUUUGAGUGCCCCCGCGCUUCCAACGUUAUCCUAAUGACUGUAGUCAGCUCAGAGUUGAAAGAAGCACUGGGCGACAUUUGCAUCGGCGUCUACUCGACGAAAUCACCUGGGUUUGACAGAUGGAUGACUUCUUCACACGUCAUAUCCAGUUCGUAAACCACACAAGGCUCAAGAGGAUGCUUGGCGCUUGGAGCUCUGUCAGCUGCCUCGUUAUCGACGUGCAAUCCCUGUUGAGCCCACGACUGCCACAGCACUAACGCGUGCUUUCUACAGCAUCAAGCCGUCUUUCCAGUAUAUGUAUCCAGAGGGGUUGCCGACACAUUUGCUGUCCUGGACUUACCUUCUUGUGCCUCGCCGCAGUACCUGAUUACAGUAAGAGUGGAAUGCGGAAAGAUUCAUCCCUGUUGGCUUCGACGGCCUGGAAGCCUAUGACCAAGGAAGGGCCUCGUCCUAGAGGCCAGUCGGCCAGGCGUUCAAGGGGUUGACACCUGCCACGGUCACUGUCUGUAGAAUCUGCAGAAUCAUCAGCCGAUCAGCUUUAAAGUGAGAGCACUAUGUCCAGGAAGGAGUUUCACUGAGACGGCAAUUUACUCCACUCCGAUUCACAGACGAUCACUCCGUGCCGGGUGCAUCUGCGAGAAUAGGGGAUCAAACGUCAGUCGUGCAAUAAUCGUUCGUUUUUUGUUUCGAUCUACUCUGAUCGAGCCCCAGCGCUCCGCUGGCGGUCGAAUUUAGUCCUUCUCUCACGACAGCAGCACAGAUCAGCUCACCCACGAGCGAAUGCCCCAGCUUCUUGGUCAAAGCUGUCGAGACAAGCAGCAAGUUGUCGGCAAUAACACACAUGCGGUAGGGUUUUAAAGCACGUGUCGGAGGUGUACGCCGUGCGGAAGCUGAGGAUGGGGAUGACGUUGUUUGCAGAUACGAGUGUAGCGUCGUCGCA